ACAGAAUCUGUAACAACCUCCGUCUCCCCUGUACUACAUACCUGUCUAUAGAGAAGAGGCUGAACUUCACUCUGAGACACAUGGACAUAUCCUGCGAGGCCUACGACCAUUUCCGCCACUGUCUGUGUGAGAUGCAGGAGCUGAGGGAGGGACGGACAUGCUUCACAGUGGAGCAGGUCACACCCUCUUUCCCACAGUGCCUGCUGUAUGAGCGCAUAGAGCAACUGGAGUUGUGGAAAGUGACAGCGGUGCCUGUCUAACCCUCUGAGGAGCUGACCUGCUCCUAGACCUGCUCCUAGACUGCUCCUAGACCUGCUCCUAGACCUGCUCCU